rnacentral:rRNA from 1 species
ACGUAGGUGGCAAGCGUUGUCCGGAUUUAUUGGGUUUAAAGGGUGCGUAGGUGGCCCUGUAAGUCAGUGGUGAAAUAUCUCAGCUUAACUGAGAGGGUGCCAUUGAUACUGCAGGGCUUGAGUACAGAUGAGGUAGGCGGAAUUGACGGUGUAGCGGUGAAAUGCAUAGAUAUCGUCAAGAACACCGAUAGUGUAGACAGCUUACUAGACUUCAACUGACGCUGAGGCACGAAAGUGUGGGGAUCAAACAGGA